rnacentral:rRNA from 1 species
GGCUCAGGAUGAACGCUAGCUACAGGCUUAACACAUGCAAGUCGAGGGGGAAACGAUAUUGGAAGCUUGCUUCUGAUAGGCGUCGACCGGCGCACGGGUGAGUAACGCGUAUCCAACCUGCCCAUCACUUGGGGAUAACCUUGCGAAAGUAAGACUAAUACCCAAUGACGUCUCUAGAAGACAUCUGAAGGAGAUUAAAGAUUUAUCGGUGAUGGAUGGGGAUGCGUCUGAUUAGCUUGUUGGCGGGGUAACGGCCCACCAAGGCGACGAUCAGUAGGGGUUCUGAGAGGAAGGUCCCCCACAUUGGAACUGAGACACGGUCCAAACUCCUACGGGAGGCAGCAGUGAGGAAUAUUGGUCAAUGGGCGAGAGCCUGAACCAGCCAAGUAGCGUGCAGGAUGACGGCCCUAUGGGUUGUAAACUGCUUUUAUAAGGGAAUAAAGUGGGAGUCGUGACUCUUUUUGCAUGUACCUUAUGAAUAAGGACCGGCUAAUUCCGUG